UCAGUCUGGAAGUUAGUUGAUUAAUAAUUGUUUGGUAUGUCGAUCUUUUGGUUUCUGACCAGCUGUGUAUCAGCACGGCAGGAUACUGAUUCAACUAAAGCGAUCAAGAAAAAGGUUAAGAAAUACAAACUGUGGGAGUUGUAUCAAGAAUUGUUGGCUUUAGGUGUCCACCUUGAUGAGGAAAAUUACAAGGAAGAAAUGAAAAGCAAAAAGAAGAUAAAACGGGCCAUACAAAAGUGUCUCAUUAGUGAACUGAUGAAGGUGCAAGAGGAGAGAGCCAAGAAGAAACAGAGGGAAGGAACAGUGGGAUGUGUUCUCUGUCGACACAUAAAGGAUAAUACCGAUAUUAUUCAGAAUGUGCCGAAUGAUCAAAAUGAUACCACUGAUGAAAAACCCUCUAUCCUGGCAAAAAUGGAGAAUACUCUGAACGUAAACAACAUCAGAAUGGAUCUCAGCACAGGGGAAGGAGAGGCCUCCAAACUUAACAUGGGUGAUGAGAGGACACAGCCAGGAGAGCUGGAGGUGGAAAAAGUGGACAAAGUGCUGAGGCCCUGGACUGGAGAUGGGAAGGAGAGGACAGGACAGGAAGUCCAUUUCUGAUGUCACUGCAAACCACAAACUGCAUCUUCAUACCUCUGCUGUUGCUUGUUUAUUUUUCUUGGCCCACAAGUGCAAGUACAACAACAACAACAACAAAAGAAACACACUUCAAUAAAAGGUUUAUUGAACAUAA